rnacentral:rRNA from 1 species
CGAGGGUGCUUGCACCUUAGCUUAGCGGCGGACGGGUGAGUAAUGCUUAGGAAUCUGCCUAUUAGUGGGGGACAACAUUCCGAAAGGAAUGCUAAUACCGCAUACGCCCUACGGGGGAAAGCAGGGGAUCUUCGGACCUUGCGCUAAUAGAUGAGCCUAAGUCGGAUUAGCUAGUUGGUGGGGUAAAGGCCUACCAAGGCGACGAUCUGUAGCGGGUCUGAGAGGAUGAUCCGCCACACUGGGACUGAGACACGGCCCAGACUCCUACGGGAGGCAGCAGUGGGGAAUAUUGGACAAUGGGCGGAAGCCUGAUCCAGCCAUGCCGCGUGUGUGAAGAAGGCCUUUUGGUUGUAAAGCACUUUAAGCGAGGAGGAGGCUACUUAGAUUAAUACUCUAGGAUAGUGGACGUUACUCGCAGAAUAAGCACCGGCUAACUCUGUGCCAGCAGCCGCGGUAAUACAGAGGGUGCGAGCGUUAGUCGGAUUUACUGGUCGUAAAGC